rnacentral:rRNA from 1 species
GAUGAACGCUAGCGGCAGGCUUAACACAUGCAAGUCGAGGGGUAUUGGUUUUCGGACCAAGAGACCGGCGCACGGGUGCGUAACGCGUAUGCAAUCUACCUUUUGCAGAGGGAUAGCCCCAGAGAAAUUUGGAUUAAUACCUCAUAGUAUAGUACUUUGGCAUCAAGGAACUAUUAAAGUCACAACGGCAAAAGAUGAGCAUGCGUCCCAUUAGCUAGUUGGUAAGGUAACGGCUUACCAAGGCUACGAU